UGACCUCCACUGGAGGUCUGUAUUGAGCAGAUUCUUUUUGGUUGUUGGGUGGUGGAACCGGAGCUUGCUCCAUCCACUCCAUGCUUUGACCUGGUAUUACAGUGCUUCCAGGACCAGUGG
rnacentral:snRNA from 1 species